rnacentral:rRNA from 1 species
GACGAACGCUGGCGGCGUGCUUAACACAUGCAAGUCGAACGGUGAAGGGACUGGUUUUGCUGGUCCUGGAUGAGUGGCGAACGGGUGAGUAACACGUGAGUAACCUGCCCCCUUCUUCUGGAUAACCGCAUGAAAGUGUGGCUAAUACGGGAUAUUCUGGGUCUGUCGCAUGGUGGGCCUGGGAAAGAUUGCGCCUUUUUUGGUGUUUUUGGUGGGGGAUGGGCUCGCGGCCUAUCAGCUUGUUGGUGGGGUGAUGGCCUACCAAGGCGGUGACGGGUAGCCGGCCUGAGAGGGUGGACGGUCACACUGGGACUGAGACGCGGCCCAGACUCCUAGGGGAGGCAGGAGUGGGGAAUAUUGCACAAUGGGCGCAAGCCUGAUGCAGCGACGCCGCGUGAGGGAUGGAGGCCUUCGGGUUGUGAACCUCUUUCGCCAGUGAAGCAGGCCUGCCUCUUUGUGUGGGUGGGUUGACGGUAGCUGGAUAAGAAGCGCCGGCUAACUACGUG